AUGGGUGGUUUAGGCAAAACGACUCUUGUCCGUCAGGUCUAUAAAAAGGAUGAAAUUAAGCAGAAUUUUAACUGUUUUGCAUGGAUUUCAGUUUCUCAAAGUUACAACAUUGAACAUCUGUUGAGGGAAAUAUUAAAGCAGCUCCAGGCGAAGGAAAAGGACAUCCCUCAUCAGGUCGCCACAACCGAUGUUGCAAGCUUGGUGCAUACACUGACGAACUUCUUGCAGGACAAAAGGUAUUUGAUCGUCUUGGAUGACAUGUGGAGUCGAGAUGCGUGGAAAUUAUUAAAUCAUGCACUGGGUAUAAGCAACAAAGGAAGCAGGAUCAUCAUAACUACAAGAAAUGAAGAUGUUUCUUCCUUAGCAGAUGAUAAGCACUGCAUUCAACUUAAAAUGCUUGGGAAGGAAGAAGGGUGGGAUCUCUUCUGUAAAAAAGCCUUUCCAAGAAUAGAAGGGAAAACAUGUCCUCAGAGUCUCAUUUGUUGGGCAGAAAAAAUUGUGGGCAAGUGUGAAGGGUUGCCACUAGCUAUUGUUGCCAUUGGAAGUUUGCUGUCACACAAAAAGCUAUAUGAAAAUGAAUGGAAAUCUUUCUAUAAUCAGCUAGAUUGGCAGAUAGUUAACAACCCAGAACUCAACUCUGUAAUGAAUGUCCUGGACAUUAGCAUCAACUCUUUAUCAGGAAAUCUGAAAAACUGCUUUCUAUACUGUGGCAUAUUUCCCGAAGACUUUCAGAUUCGAAGAAAUUACCUUAUUAGGUUAUGGAUAGCUGAAGGCUUCGUACAAGAAAGGGGGCCAAGUAUAACUAUGGAGGAAGUAGGGAAUGAGUAUCUCAAUGAAAUCGCUCAACGUUCACUUCUUCAAGUGGUC
rnacentral:rRNA from 1 species